CAUUUCCUCGUUAUUCUCUAAGAACAAAACAAAUAUCCCCUCACCUCCUUCAACCAUCUCUCUGAUGAACACCACCACAAACACCACUAUUGAUGGCGGCCUCACCACCAAUAACACCACCGACGGCGACCCCUCCAUGUAGCAGCCUCCGACCACCGGCGAUAACACUUACAUCCUUCAAUGGAAUUUCAGAUCUGGAACUGCUGAUUCCUCAUCUUUGUUUUUGUUGUGGUAAACCGCCACCAUUAUCGUCGUGUCCUCCUUCCACAAUAUCUGCUUCGGCACAUCACCACCUUUUCUUCAUAUAUGUAUCGACGAACCACCAAAACUGUUAGAUUUUCACUCACAUAUGGUAUAUCUCGAAUGCAUUAGAUCCAGACCUUCUUUCACUCAGGUCUAGAAUCUUCGAAGACUUUCCAACACCACCAUCACGAACCUCUAACACUUCAGUUCUAUUCCACAACUAUAUCCGAACAUUCACCUCCAAUCGUUGCCUCUAGAACCCUAUAUCAUUGUCGUCGCACGCCAUCCGAAACCACAAGAUCUUCCAUACAGUCUUCCAGAUCUGCAAGCUCAGGUCUAAAUCUAGGAUUUUUGGCACCACCAAUGUACAGACCCAUGAGCUCCGGUCCGGAUCUAUGAUUUCCGCCACCAUUGACAUCCAUAUCUACGAGCUCCGAUGAGAUUUGGUUUUGUGUUCCUCAAGUUGCAAAUCUAGUUUUGUGUUAUUUAUCUCAUAUCUCUAAAAGUUGUUUUUUGUUUUUCCUCUAAAGAUAUGGAUAUGUUCUUACCGUCAAACCUCUAUGAAGAACCAAACAACGUCGCCUGAAUUUAGAGAUGAUGUAACUCUUAUAACUAGUAAGAUAUGAUGUUUUAUGGUGAUUAUGGAUAUGAUGUAUGUGUUGUACACAAAGUGUUUGAUGAAAUGCCACAACGAAAUUUGGUAAGCCAUUAAGUUGUGAAUAUAUGUUUUUAUGUAUUAAUUUGUGAAUAUGUAAGUUAUUAAGGUGUGAAUGUGUAUUUUUUUUUUUAAUGCAUUGAGUUGUGAUUUUGUGUCUGAAAUAUUGAAUUAAGAUGUGAAUUAGUGUUUGGAAUGUUGUAUUAAAAUGUGAAUUACGUUUUUUUUUAUCUAAAUCUGAUUUUUAAAGGAAGGACGUUGGUGGUGCUGGCACCAAUGGUUGGUGGUGGCGAUGGCUGAUGGAUACGUAUGGUAGUUAAUGGUAU
rnacentral:lncRNA from 1 species